rnacentral:rRNA from 1 species
UACAGAGGUCUCAAGCGUUGUUCGGAUUCAUUGGGCGUAAAGAGCGUGUAGGCGGCCCGGUAAGUCCGCUGUAAAAGUCAAAGGCUCAACCUUUGAAUGUCAGUGGAUACUGCCGGGCUAGAGUCCGGAAGAGGCGAGUGGAACUCCUGGUGUAGCGGUGGAAUGCGCAGAUAUCAGGAAGAACACCAACGGCGAAGGCAGCUCGCUGGGACGGUACUGACGCUGAGACGCGAAAGCGUGGGGAGCGAACAGG